UGUAGUUCAGUUGGUAGAAUGUUCGCCUGGCAUGCAUAAAAUCCUGGGUUCCAUCCCCAGCA
rnacentral:tRNA from 1 species